rnacentral:rRNA from 1 species
AUGACGAAGAUGGACAUGACCACGAUGAGCGCCGCGAAGAGGAUGAACACCCCCCACCGGAGGUGGCACAUGGCCGCCAGGAAGCACUGCGCCACCGCCGCCGUCCAGAACAGGUUCACGCACACCACCACGCUCUGCCCCGCCGACCGCAUCUCCAGCGGGAACAACUCGCUCGGCACCAGCCACCCCAGCGGCCCCCACGACCACCCGUACGCCACCACGAACAAGCAGAUGGCCACCACCAGCACCGUGCUCACGCCCUUGGACAGCUCCUCCCCGGCCCCGGCCUCGAUGAACAGCACCCGCCGCCCGAGCCGGUCCACCACCACCAUGGACACCAGCGCGCCCACCACCAGCAUGGAGCCCGUGAUGAUGGAGGAGUAG